AUCCACGUUCUAAUAUAGCUGAUCAACAUGACAGAAAGUUUUCCCUGAUUUAGUAGACAAUUUACAAAAGCAAACACUAUCACAUCGCUGGUAACAUGAUGAAAACGCUUUCUUGUCAUGGACAAUAGGUGAACACACAGUUCCAGUGGCUUCACAAUGGCAGUAUUACAAGGUCAGCUCUGAGGUUUCGCCUGGCUCAGCAAAGACCUGCAGAGCUGUGGGGCAUGCUGCUCAGCUGACAGGGCUCUUUGCUUGUUCAUGGUGCUCUUUCUCGAAGGGGCCCCAGUGACAGAGCCAUUCACAAGCACGGGCCAUAAAUGACCGAGUUCAACACCACAUUAAGCACUGCAUUCUCAAAAUCAGUAGGCUACUGACUCUGGAGCACAGCCAAAAUGCCAGGAACAAAAGGUAAUAAGUCGGACAAGAAGUCAGCUACCAAGCAACCUCAGAGUCCUAAAGAGCAGCCGAAGAAAGGUGAUCAGAAAGGAGACGAUAACAAGAAGCAAGGAGGACAGCCGAAGGGAGAGAAGCAAUAACUUCCAGGCAUUUGUGAAGAUGGCUUUGGAGACACUGCUGGGGUCCUGCCGUCGUAAAAAUGGCAGCCCCCGGAGCAAGCAGGGCUGAGUGCGCCACACUUUUCCCGUGAGCCUGCAGACUGGGCUGUUGUGCGGUCUUUCAAUACAGCAUCUGCUCACCUCUCACAGAGGUAGAAAGUGAACCUGAUCUCCAUCCAUCACCAUCUGUUGUUCAACCUCUGUUCCUCCCCCUUCUGUCCCCUUCCCCACGCUAUCUUCUGGCUUAUUGGAUGCUCAGAAACAGACUCCAGGUUAAACCGGACAAUUGCUCUGACUCACCC